rnacentral:rRNA from 1 species
GAUGAACGCUGGCGGCGUGCCUAAUACAUGCAAGUCGAGCGAACAGACGAGGAGCUUGCUCCUCUGACGUUAGCGGCGGACGGGUGAGUAACACGUGGAUAACCUACCUAUAAGACUGGGAUAACUUCGGGAAACCGGAGCUAAUACCGGAUAAUAUAUUGAACCGCAUGGUUCAAUAGUGAAAGACGGUUUUGCUGUCACUUAUAGAUGGAUCCGCGCCGCAUUAGCUAGUUGGUAAGGUAACGGCUUACCAAGGCAACGAUGCGUAGCCGACCUGAGAGGGUGAUCGGCCACACUGGAACUGAGACACGGUCCAGACUCCUACGGGAGGCAGCAGUAGGGAAUCUUCCGCAGUGGGCGAAAGCCUGACGGAGCAACGCCGCGUGAGUGAUGAAGGUCUUCGGAUCGUAAAACUCUGUUAUUAGGGAAAAACAAAUGUGUAAGUAACUAUGCACGUCUUGACGGUACCUAGUCAGAAAGCCACGGCUAACUACGUG